rnacentral:tRNA from 1 species
CGCAGCCACGUCCCAUGUCAGAUCGAACACUUCACUUAGUUUCGCUGGGGAUUUGUAUUAAACGGAUAGUUCA